CAAAUCAGGUAGGACUACCCGCUGAACUUAAGCAUAUCAAUAAGCGGAGGAAAAGAAACUAACAAGGAUUCCCCUAGUAACUGCGAGUGAAGCGGGAAAAGCUCAAAUUUAAAAUCUGGCGGUCUUCGGCCGUCCGAGUUGUAAUCUGGAGAAGCGUUUUCCGCGCUGGACCGUGUACAAGUCUCUUGGAACAGAGCGUCAUAGAGGGUGAGAAUCCCGUCUUUGACACGGACUACCAGUGCUAUGUGAUGCGCUCUCGAUGAGUCGAGUUGUUUGGGAAUGCAGCUCAAAAUGGGUGGUAAAUUCCAUCUAAAGCUAAAUAUUGGCGAGAGACCGAUAGCGAACAAGUACCGUGAGGGAAAGAUGAAAAGCACUUUGGAAAGAGAGUUAAACAGUACGUGAAAUUGCUGAAAGGGAAACGAUUGAAGUCAGUCGCGUGUGCUAGAACUCAGCCUUGCUUUUGCUUGGUGCAUUUUCUAGUGUACGGGCCAGCAUCAGUUUUGGCCGCCGGAAAAAGGCCUUGGGAAUGUGGCACCUUCGGGUGUGUUAUAGCCCUUGGUUGUAUACGGUGGCUGGGACUGAGGAACAUAGCAUGCCUUUACGGCGGGGCUUCGGCCACCUUCAUGCUUUGGAUGCUGGCGUAAUGGCUUUAAACGACCCGU
rnacentral:rRNA from 1 species